UUCUUUCUUUCUUUCUUUUU
rnacentral:sRNA from 1 species